AUUGAACGCUAGCGGGAUGCUUUACACAUGCAAGUCGAACGGCAGCGCGGACUUCGGUCUGGCGGCGAGUGGCGAACGGGUGAGUAAUGUAUCGGAACGUGACCAGUAGCGGGGGAUAACUACGCGAAAGCGUAGCUAAUACCGCAUACGCCCUACGGGGGAAAGCAGGGGAUCGUAAGACCUUGCACUAUUGGAGCGGCCGAUAUCGGAUUAGCUAGUUGGUGAGGUAACGGCUCACCAAGGCGACGAUCCGUAGCUGGUUUGAGAGGACGACCAGCCACACUGGGACUGAGACACGGCCCAGACUCCUACGGGAGGCAGCAGUGGGGAAUUUUGGACAAUGGGGGCAACCCUGAUCCAGCCAUCCCGCGUGUGCGAUGAAGGCCUUCGGGUUGUAAAGCACUUUUAGCAGGAAAGAAACGUCGCGGGCUAAUACCCCGUGGAACUGACGGUACCUGCAGAAUAAGCACCGGCUAACUACGUG
rnacentral:rRNA from 1 species